GGUGGAAAUCUAUGAAAAGACUGCUGAAGUAUUAGCUCCUGAAGUGAAAAAGCUGCUUAAUUUCAUGUAUUUUCAGCGAAAAGCUAUUGAAAGAUUUUGUGCAGAGGUAAAAAGGCUGUGCCAUGCUGAAAAGAGGAAGGAUUGCGUCGGAAGCCUACUUGCUCACCCUAGGAAAAUUUAUCAAUAUGUUUGCGGUGCUAGAUAAGCUGAAAAACAUGAAAUCAAGUGUGAAAAAUGAUUAUUCUACCCAUCGCCGUGUCACCCAGUUCUUGAAAGUUAUGGCAGAUUCACUCACCCUGCUGGAGUCGCAGAAUUUAUUCAUGUUUCUCUCUACACAGAACAAAAUUCGGGACACAGUGAAAGAUAAUUUGGAAAAAAUAAUCGGUUACGAAGAGCCUCUGUCCUAUAUUGUCAAUCUGUGCGUGCACAUGUUCGAAACAAAAAUGUAGCUUACACCCACCGACCAGCGCAUGCUGGUUAAAGUUGUACUGGUUUGGAUCUACGCCCUGGAGCGCCAUCCAAAAUCAUUCUCAGGAUGGCCAAAGUCAUUGCUUUUGUUUUGUCAGUGGACUGGCUGAAAGCAUCUGGCAACACACACCGAAAACUGGAAGCACCCCUACGCCUGUUACUAUGCAUCUGCUUACUGUGUUGCGAUGAUGGCAAAUCUCCUCUCGUAUUGCUUUCUGUGAAGAUGCAAAGAUCCAGUUGGACACGAAUAUUAAGUACAUUCCAAUGCGUGGGAGGAGGACAAGCUGGGGCCGUGGGCAUGUAGGACCACCCACCGAAAUAAUUGCUCCACAACCUGCACAGCAACCUCCUCUGCAGCCUUUACCACAACCUCCUCUGCAACCAGCACCUGCAUCGAUUCCUCCACAGGAGCCAUGAUGUCUGGGAGAAAUAACAAUCAGUUCUGAAGAGGAGCCGCCAUCCGCAGACACAUUGAGAACUGAUGCAGUAGAUUAUACGGGAUGCAGCUCUUGCGACAAGCCUGAUAACUAGAUGCUUGAAUCAGGCAGCCUAGAACACAUGUCUUGAAAGAAAAUGCUAACUAUUUUCGUUCCUCAAUGAUUACUUUUAGACGGAAUUGACGCUGCUCAAAAUUGUUUUACUUCUCUCUUACUGCCUUUUUAAACAAUAUAUAUUUUUUUUUAAUUUAAUGGUCAUUUUGUUUACUUGCUAAUUAUAAUAUUCAUUUAUUAGUGUUUAAAUACGUUAGUGAGUUGCUUGUGUAACACUGAUUUUUGUUCCUUUUUUUGGAAACUUGAAUGAAUUUCAUGCGCUCAUGUAAACAAGCUUGUUCUUAGACUAACAGUGCAAAUAUGGCAAAUUUCACCUAAGCCUUUCUUUAGCACGUUCAACCCAUAUUUUGUACUUGUAUCCCCUUGAAAUAUCAUAACGUUAGUGAGUCAACAGGGAAUUACUGAUUUUUUGUUUUGUUUUCAAGUACUUAAAUAAAUUUUCUUUUUUCUACUA